AUUGAACGCUGGCGGCAUGCUUUACACAUGCAAGUCGAACGGUAACAGGCCUUCGGGUGCUGACGAGUGGCGAACGGGUGAGUAAUGCAUCGGAACGUACCCAGAGGUGGGGGAUAACGCAGCGAAAGCUGUGCUAAUACCGCAUGUGAUCUGAGGAUGAAAGCGGGGGACCGAGCAGCAAUGUUUGGCCUCGCGCCUUUGGAGCGGCCGAUGUCGGAUUAGCUAGUUGGUGGGGUAAAGGCCUACCAAGGCGACGAUCCGUAGCUGGUCUGAGAGGACGACCAGCCACACUGUGACUGAGACACGGCCCAGACUCCUACGGGAGGCAGCAGUGGGGAAUUUUGGACAAAGGGCGCAAGCCUGAUCCAGCAAUGCCGCGUGCGGGAAGAAGGCCUUCGGGUUGUAAACCGCUUUUGGCAGGAACGAAACGGUGUCCGCUAAUACCGGGCGCUAAUGACGGUACCUGCAGAAUAAGCACCGGCUAACUACGUG
rnacentral:rRNA from 1 species